AGCUUGCUGGGGGGAUUAGUGGCGAACGGGUGAGUAACACGUGAGUAACCUGCCCUUAACUCUGGGAUAAGCCUGGGAAACUGGGUCUAAUACCGGAUAUGACUCCUCAUCGCAUGGUGGGGGGUGGAAAGCUUUUUGUGGUUUUGGAUGGACUCGCGGCCUAUCAGCUUGUUGGUGAGGUAAUGGCUCACCAAGGCGACGACGGGUAGCCGGCCUGAGAGGGUGACCGGCCACACUGGGACUGAGACACGGCCCAGACUCCUACGGGAGGCAGCAGUGGGGAAUAUUGCACAAUGGGCGCAAGCCUGAUGCAGCGACGCCGCGUGAGGGAUGACGGCCUUCGGGUUGUAAACCUCUUUCAGUAGGGAAGAAGCGAAAGUGACGGUACCUGCAGAAGAAGCGCCGGCUAACUACGUGCCAGCAGCCGCGGUAAUACGUAGGGCGCAAGCGUUAUCCGGAAUUAUUGGGCGUAAAGAGCUCGUAGGCGGUUUGUCGCGUCUGCCGUGAAAGUCCGGGGCUCAACUCCGGAUCUGCGGUGGGUACGGGCAGACUAGAGUGAUGUAGGGGAGACUGGAAUUCCUGGUGUAGCGGUGAAAUGCGCAGAUAUCAGGAGGAACACCGAUGGCGAAGGCAGGUCUCUGGGCAUUAACUGACGCUGAGGAGCGAAAGCAUGGGGAGCGAACAGGAUUAGAUACCCUGGUAGUCCAUGCCGUAAACGUUGGGCACUAGGUGUGGGGGACAUUCCACGUUUUCCGCGCCGUAGCUAACGCAUUAAGUGCCCCGCCUGGGGAGUACGGCCGCAAGGCUAAA
rnacentral:rRNA from 1 species